UACGGGGGGAGCAAGCGUUGUUCGGAUUUACUGGGUGUAAAGGGCGCGUAGGCGGUCGUGACAAGUCACUUGUGAAAUCUCCGGGCUUAACUCGGAACGGUCAAGUGAUACUGUCGGACUAGAGUACAGAAGGGGCAACUGGAAUUCUCGGUGUAGCGGUGAAAUGCGUAGAUAUCGAGAGGAACACCUGCGGCGAAGGCGGGUUGCUGGGCUGAUACUGACGCUGAGGCGCGAAAGCGUGGGUAGCAAACAGG
rnacentral:rRNA from 1 species